CAAGUGUUGAACAAGCAAUGAAGUGUUCCCGAGAGAACUAGAAAAAGACUGUCUGUCUCAAGUACCCGUGUAUUUCCUCUCUGGCAUAGAAUAUGCAU